rnacentral:rRNA from 1 species
CCAUGCCGCGUGUCUGAAGAAGGCCUUCGGGUUGUAAGGACUUUGUCAGGGAGCAAAACUUACUGGUUAAUACCCGGUGAGGCUGAGAGUACCUGAAGAAUAAGCACCGGCUAACUACGUGCCAGCAGCCGCGGUAAUACGUAGGGUGCAAGCGUUAAUCGGAAUUACUGGGCGUAAAGCGUGCGCAGGCGGACUUUUAAGCCAGAUGUGAAAGCCCCGAGCUUAACUUGGGAAUUGCGUUUGGAACUGGGAGUCUAGAGUCUGUCAGAGGGGGAUGGAAUUCCACGUGUAGCAGUGAAAUGCGUAGAGAUGUGGAGGAACACCGAUGGCGAAGGCAGUCCCCUGGGAUAAGACUGACGCUCAUGCACGAAAGCGUGGGGAGCAAACAGGAUUAGAUACCCUGGUAGUCCACGCCCUAAACGAUGUCUACUAGUUGUUGGGGUAGCAAUACCUCAGUGACGCAGCUAACGCGUGAAGUAGACCGCCUGGGGAGUACGGUCGCAAGAUUAAAACUCAAAGGAAUUGACGGGGGG